UGUAAACAUCCCACACUCUCCGCU
rnacentral:miRNA from 1 species